AUGAUGGAGCCCUGGAUGCUUCUUUCCCUCCUUUUAAUCAUGCCCAGCAAGCCACAGGAGACAGGACCCAGGAUCAUCAUGAAUCUGAAGUUGCGGGAUUCUUUUCCUGGGAACCUCUCACAAGUCCCCCAUUUCCAGGAGUUUCUGGAGAAGACCAAUGAUAGAAAAAACCAAGAUGGGGAAAGUCACAAAGUAGAAGAGAUACCGGUAUUUGGAGGUCAGAGGCAGUGGGAGCAAUGUUCCAUGUGGACUCAAGAGGAUCUGAGUUCAAAUUCUCACUCUGCUUCCUGCUUGACCCAGGAAAGGUAAUAACUUCUCUAAGUCUUAAUUUCUUUCUCUGCAAAAUGAAGAGGUAGCAUGAGAGGACCUCUUGGAUUCUUUGUAGCUCUAAACCUAUGAUCUUAUGAUCCACCUAUUUGACUGGACUAUUUGACAAGCUUAUCUCAUCUAUUUUACACUUCAGUUGAUAUUAAUAAUCAGAGCGCCAUUGAACAAGGUGGCUUUGUUAUUUCUUUUGUAUACUUUUCAAAUAUGCACAGGAGAUAUCUUGUUGUAGGAGUUUUUAAGGCAAUGCUUUGCUUGACCCAAUCAAAUGCUUUUUUUUUAGCCAAUAAGCAAAGUAAGAUCUUUAUUCUCUCUAUCUCACUCAAUUAUUUGACUGUAUUUAUACUGUAUUUUUUUGGGGAAAAAAACUUUGAUCACCAUUUUUAACUGCCUAAUUUGGGGGACUAAAAGCAUUUCCCAAAGCAUCCCAUUCCUCCAACAAAAAGUUAAGUAAAAUCUAUCAAACCUAUCUCACCUGCCAUUAUUCCACAACCAUCAUCCCCUUUCUUUUUAUAGAAGAGAAAAAUUGGUCAAUGCAAUCAAUCUGAGUUGUUCCUAUUGUCACUGUAUAUGUUGCUUGAAAAUUCAUCUAUUUCUUGUUCUCUUGCAACAUCCACAUCAGCAGUGCUCUUGAGGUAUAUGUAGAUU
rnacentral:lncRNA from 1 species